GCCUGGGUGGCUCAGCCAUUAAGCAUCUGACUUCAGCUCAGGGUGUGAUCCUGGAGUCCUGGGAUAGAAUCCCACCUCAGGCU
rnacentral:tRNA from 1 species